rnacentral:rRNA from 1 species
ACCGGCGGCUCGAGUGGUGGCCACUAUUACUGGGCUUAAAGCGUUCGUAGCUGGCUUGUUAAGUCUCUGGGGAAAUCUUCCGGCUCAACCGGAAGGCGUCUCAGGGAUACUGGCAGGCUAGGGACCGGAAGAGGUGAGAGGUACUCCAGGGGGAGGGGUGCAAUCCGGGAAUCCCUGGGGGAACACCCGUGGCGAAGGCGUCCCACCAGGACGGCACCCACAGUGAGGAACGAAAGCUGGGGGAGCAAACCG